rnacentral:lncRNA from 1 species
CGGCUAACCUAAUUACCUAUCAGAGAGCACAAUUGGAUUAUCAUAUUAUGGAUGAUAAUUUCAAUGGCCGAUAAACACCAGGCGUGUGGCGCCUCCAAUUAUUAUCGAACCAUUGGACCCAUUAUCAUUCAACUUAAUGGAAGAUUUUGAGCUAGUUAUAACUAUUUUAUUUUAGGAACCUAAUAAUUUUAGAGAAUUUGAUUUAAUAGAGAAAAGAGAAGAGAAGAACCGGUUAAUCUUGAUCCUCCCACUGACUUCACCAAGUUAGAUUAAAAAAGGAACUAUAUUCAACCUAGUUCUUAGGCACCUAAAUCAGUCACACUGAUUUUUCUUAUAGGCAUGGGUUAACUCGAAUCAUUAAGUGAUCUAAUAAAAAAUGAUUGACCAAGUCGGCCAGGUAAGUGAGAUCGGUGAGAAGGAUAUGUCAUUAACGCGAUAAAGACGAAUCAGUGCGAGUAGCUCCCAAUUAAAAACCACAAGUCAAAACUGCCAAACUUACCUUAGACGCCGAGUGGUUAAUCAAUUUUAAUUUUGACCAUCCUAAUUACUCGGCCUCAACCACUGAGCCUCAAUCAAGUUCCAUUUGGUCUAAUCAAAGACAUGGACUUGAUCAAGUACAACUAUUGUAUUUGAUUAAGUAUCCUUGAGCUAAUUUAAUUACUACUUAGUUAGAUUUGAUCAAUUACUCCAAUUAGUCCAUCUUUGAUUUUAACCCUAGGUCUAACCUAGUUCACUACAACUUGAUUUGAGCUAACCCAAAUACUCCCAAGAUUUAUGCAAUGUCAAUUAGAUUUCAAUUCACAAUUCUAGAUCACUUAAUUCUCAAUUAAGUAUAGGUUUAUGAAAAAUUUCAGAUCAUUGUAUAAGUCUUGAAUCACAUGUUAAUUACAAACUUU